GCCACAGCUGCCCUGGGGCAGACUGACAGUUUGGAUUAAUCAAUUAACCUAUCCCCACAGACUGUAGAAAUCAAUUAAUGUUAAUAAGCCUUCACCAAACUGUAUAAUUACCAUGGUAUCAGACUAAGUUUACAGGUCAUCUGCAGAUUUUAAUACAACUUCUGGAGGCUUACUGCAGAUUUUUCUCUUUUCCCCAGCUGUGGCGAUUUUUUAGGGAAGUGCGCGCUUUUCCCCGUGGAGGCUCGUCCACACGGCUCUCGACUCACCCGUGCUUGAUUGCUCUGCCAGCUGCUUCUAAUCAGCCUUCAUCUUACCCCAAACUGGUUCCCCUAGGUAAUUUGGACGGAAAGGAGAAUCGGGACACACUAGUCGCUCACGGGAUUGCACGGAUGAAGCAGCACUUGGGAGUUUGAAAAGGAGCACCUUUGGACACUGUAAAUAAACACACUGUUCCACUGUUCA